rnacentral:rRNA from 1 species
AUUGAACGCUGGCGGCAGGCCUAACACAUGCAAGUCGAGCGGAUGAAGGGAGCUUGCUCCUGGAUUCAGCGGCGGACGGGUGAGUAAUGCCUAGGAAUCUGCCUGGUAGUGGGGGAUAACGUCCGGAAACGGGCGCUAAUACCGGAUACGUCCUGAGGGAGAAAGUGGGGGAUCUUCGGACCUCACGCUAUCAGAUGAGCCUAGGUCGGAUUAGCUAGUUGGUGGGGUAAAGGCCUACCAAGGCGACGAUCCGUAACUGGUCUGAGAGGAUGAUCAGUCACACUGGAACUGAGACACGGUCCAGACUCCUACGGGAGGCAGCAGUGGGGAAUAUUGGACAAUGGGCGAAAGCCUGAUCCAGCCAUGCCGCGUGUGUGAAGAAGGUCUUCGGAUUGUAAAGCACUUUAAGUUGGGAGGAAGGGCAGUAAGUUAAUACCUUGCUGUUUUGACGUUACCAACAGAAUAAGCACCGGCUAACUUCGUG